rnacentral:sRNA from 1 species
AUUUUUAAGUUCUCCAGAGCAAACAAA